rnacentral:misc_RNA from 1 species
GGAAGGAUCAUUAACACGAAACUUCUGUUUCAAAACCCGCUGUGCACCCUUUGAAAAAAAAUCUUUGUCCUUUCGGUUGACCUGGUCUGGCUAUAUACGAUAAUUAUGCGUCUCUGUGAAGAUUGGCGUAUUUUUGUUAGAAGGCCGGACUACGAGCGAAGUAAAAAUCUAGCUCAAGGGAGGGUUCCAGAGUGUUGAUAUGUACUGUAAGACUAACGGUUCGCCGCCGGUCGAUAAAGCGAUGUCCACGAAAGAAUCUAACGAUAGGCUAAGGCAUACAUUUUCACACCAUAUUAAUUCGUGUACCAUCCCAUUGGGUCAUCGGCUCAAUGGUGCGCUGAUUUCAAAUGUAAAUUCUUUUACGAAAGUAAAGGAGUUUUCGAGAGAAAGUUUAAUAUACAAUUGUACAACUCUUAGCAACGGAUAUCUUGGUUCUCGCAACGAUGAAGAACGCAGCGAAAUGCGAUACGUAAUGCGAAUUGCAGAAUUCAGUGAAUCAUCAAAUCUUUGAACGCAAAUUGCGCUCUUGGGAAUCCCUGAGAGCACACCUCUUCGAGUAUCCGUUUUACAUCAAAUCGACAGCGUUCUUUUUUGAACGUGGUUCGGAUAUUGAGUGUCAUGGCGUGGUUGCAAUGUCACUUUAAGAUUCUUGGAAAGAAUUGGUCUUUCAACAAUGUGGCGGUUCCAACAGGUUGACGGCUCUGGGUUUUCCGUUAACUUGAAGGGCUGUGACAUAGAUAUAGGAGUUUUCUGACUUUUCUGCGUCGUUGCACCAAAGUUAGUUACUCUAAAGUCUAUGUUAGCGGUAACGUUUAAUGUUGUUUGAUUGUUGCCUUUUCGGUCCGACUUGGGGUAGAGCUUGCUCUAUACAAACUGAAACAUCAAGAUCUCGAAUGAAGUGAGACAACCCGCCGAAUUUAAGCAUAUUAGUAAGCGGAGGAAAAGAAACUAACAAGGAUGCCCCUAGUAACGGCGAGUGAAGCGGGCAAAGCUCAAUUUGUAAAUCGGAUUGGUUUACCAGUUCGAGUUGUAGUCUCGAGACGAUUGGACCGUGGUGACCCGGGUUUAAAUCUUUUUGGAACAAGGUAUCAUAGAGGGUGAGAAUCCCGUUUAUGACCCGAAGCUCACUACUUACGUCCGGCGUUCAAAGAGUCGUGUUGAUUGGGAUCUCAGCACUAAAUGGGAGGUAAGUUUCUUCUAAAGCUAAAUAUUGGCGAGAGACCGAUAGCGAACAAGUACCGUGAGGGAAAGAUGAAAAGAACUUUGAAAAGAGAGUAAAAUAGUACUUGAAAUUGCUAAGAGGGAAGCACUGGAAACCAGUCUAACCUUGGGAGAAUCUCUCGUUAUCUUGGUUACAAGUCUGCCUUGGUGUGACUUCAAACGCAUGCUGGGAACAGAGGAGUGAUCAAGGUGGUGUCUGUCUCUUGAGGUGGGUCAGGAUCAACUAGGCUCGCGGGAGAAAACAGGAUGAUCGUUUGAGAGCUCUCACGGGGGUUCUUAAAGUUCGCUUGCUAUACCGUGGGGGCUGGUUGAGGUUAUUGACAAAAUGCGUUGCUCUGAGGAGUGGCCGUCGCGCCCGGACCCAUGAAGCACUCAAAAGGGUGUGAAGUUGGACCGAAAGCGUGAACUGCAUUUUCGCGAUCCUGACGAAAUGGUUUUUCAUUGACCCGUCUUGAAACACGGACCAAGGAGUCUAACAUAUGUGCGAGUAUUUGGGUGAUUAAAACCCUGAUGCGUAAUGAAAGUGAAUGUCAACCUAGUUGGCUUUGGUAGGAAUCUUUCCUUUGGGGGAGAGGCACUAUCGACCGAUCCGUGCUUGCACAGGAUUUGAGUAAGAGCAUAUCUGUUGGGACCCGAAAGAUGGUGAUCUAUGCCUGAACAGGGUGAAGCCAGGGGAAACUCUGGUGGAGGCUCGUAGCGAUACUGACGUGCAAAUCGUUCGUCUGAUUUGGGUAUAGGGGCGAAAGACUAAUCGAACCAUCUAGUAGCUGGUUCCCUC